rnacentral:lncRNA from 1 species
CAGGUUUAUUAUAAAAGGAUAAAACUCAGGAACAGUUGAUGGAAGAGAUGCAUAGGGCAAGAUAUGGGAAAGGGCACAGAACUUCCAUGACUUCUCCAGGUGCACCACUCUCCCAGCACCUCCGCGUACUUAUACUUGUUCGCCAACCCUGAAGCUCUCUGAACCCUAUCCUUUUGGGGUUUUAUUAAGGCUUGAUUACAUAGUCAUGAAUGAUUAAAUCAUUGGCCAUUGGUGAAGGAGCGGGGGAGUACUGAAAAUCCCACCCCUCUAAUCACAUGGUUGGUUCCCCCGGCAACCAGGCCCCAUCCUUAGGUUACUUAAGAGUGUUCCAAAAGUUACCUCAGUAACAUAACAAAAAAACACCUUAUCACUCUUGUCACAGAAAAUUCCAAGGAUUUUAGGAGCUCUGUGCCAGGACCAGGUGGAAGAUCAAUGAUGUAUUUCUUAUUAUAAAUCACAAUAUCAUGCCCACAUAUCAAGAAACCUCUCAGUUCUGGUAAAACUGGAAUGAUUGCUCACCCCGGGGUGUAAAGAUGAAAUCCUCAACAGGACAAGUCAAGAAUUCGUCAGAUAUUAGGGAAGACAUUCUAAUGUCAAACGUGUUGAAAGAAACCACAAAGAAAAAUAUGAAAAUUUUUAAAUUCCUUAUGUAACCACGGGCUCUCCAGGACCAGUUCAACUGGCCCCAUCUUAUCAACAGAGUAAUAAAGAGUUGUCUUUCAGGGACUGAGACCCUUGUCCAGUUCAGGCCAGGUUGAUCCUGUUCUCUGGGUCUCAGGAAAUCUUUGAGUUUUAUUUAUGAGAAUUCAUGCUUUAAUAACUCCAGCCUUUAAGUUACCCCAUGGUCACUCCCUGCCUCAUCUUCACUUGGGAGAAAGAGGAGAAGAAAAUCAGCUCUGAGCCUGGACUUGAACUGAAACAUCCUGUAAGCACUGCUAGAAUACUUCCAGGUGAUUUCAGAGGCCUUCAUUCCCCUGUUCUCCACGGCACACGUGUCCACAUCCCUUCACCAUCUUUGCCCCUAAGCUCCCAUCACAGAAGUAUCCAACCUACUUACAUCAACCACAGUUACAUUUGCUGAUUUGAGUUUAUAGUCAGAAUCUUCGCCCUCCAGGAUUCCAAACCACACACAAAAAAAACUAACUAAUUAAUAAAAGUUAAUUGCCUUGAAUUUUGCCUUGGUGA